rnacentral:rRNA from 1 species
UACGGGGGGGGCAAGCGUUGUUCGGAAUUACUGGGCGUAAAGGGCUCGUAGGCGGCCAACUAAGUCAGACGUGAAAUCCCUCGGCUUAACCGGGGAACUGCAUCUGAUACUGGAUGGCUUGAGUUCGGGAGAGGGAUGCGGAAUUCCAGGUGUAGCGGUGAAAUGCGUAGAUAUCUGGAGGAACACCGGUGGCGAAGGCGGCAUCCUGGACCGACACUGACGCUGAGGAGCGAAAGCCAGGGGGGCAAACGGG